rnacentral:rRNA from 1 species
GGGGGCAACCCUGGCGGCGAGCGGCGAACGGGUGAGUAAUACAUCGGAACGUACCCAGGAGUGGGGGAUAACACAUCGAAAGAUGUGCUAAUACCGCAUACGCCCUGAGGGGGAAAGCGGGGGAUCGCAAGACCUCGCGCUGUUGGAGCGGCCGAUGUCGGAUUAGCUAGUUGGUAGGGUAAAGGCCUACCAAGGCGACGAUCCGUAGCUGGUCUGAGAGGAUGAUCAGCCACACUGGGACUGAGACACGGCCCAGACUCCUACGGGAGGCAGCAGUGGGGAAUUUUGGACAAUGGGGGCAACCCUGAUCCAGCCAUUCCGCGUGAGUGAAGAAGGCCUUCGGGUUGUAAAGCUCUUUCGGCAGGAACGAAACGGCGGGCUCUAACAUGGCCUGUCAAUGACGGUACCUGAAGAAGAAGCACCGGCUAACUACGUGCCAGCAGCCGCGGUAAUACGUAGGGUGCGAGCGUUAAUCGGAAUUACUGGGCGUAAAGCGUGCGCAGGCGGUUUUGUAAGACAGCUGUGAAAUCCCCGGGCUUAACCUGGGAACUGCGGUUGUGACUGCAAGACUAGAGUGCGGCAGAGGGGGGGUGGAAUUCCACGUGUAGCAGUGAAAUGCGUAGAGAUGUGGAGGAACACCGAUGGCGAAGGCAGCCCCCUGGGUUGACACUGACGCUCAUGCACGAAAGCGUGGGUAGCAAACAGGAUUAGAUACCCUGGUAGUCCACGCCCUAAACGAUGCCAACUAGGUGUUGGGGGAAAGGAGACUUCCUUAGUACCGUAGCUAACGCGUGAAGUUGGCCGCCUGGGGGAGUACGGUCGCAAGAUUAAAACUCAAAGGAAUUGACGGGGACCCGCACAAGCGGUGGAUGAAGGUGGAUUAAUUCGAUGC